GUGAGGGUACAGGCAGGUCCCGGGGCAGGAGUGCUGACUCAGCCCAGGAUGAGACUUGGUAUGUCGUCCCACCUUGAAUUUCUAAAGUGAUGAAAAUACACCCAAGACUGCUGGACGGAGGAACAUUUUAAGCAUGCCUACAGCAACCAAGGCCGUACCAGGAGUGGGUGCUUCCAGCUGAAUAAGCCCUAGAUGCUGUUCCAGGUGCCGGGAAGACUCCCCAGCCAGCUGUUGCGUUGAUGAGCAUUUA